UGAUCCCAAUGUCUUGACGCUCUGGGUUUUCAUGCCAAUGUCUUGAUGCUUUGGAUUUUUCGUUAUUAGCUUUGUUAGCCUGAUGUGCCUUUCCAGUUCUUACGUGGCAGGUUGUAAUACACAUUUACCUCUAUCGGUAGUCGGUGGUUCCUCUGGUACAAUUUCAAAAUUAUAGACGGAGGACUGGAGUUAGCUUUACUAUUUUUCCAUCUAAUCACCGUAUGUUUAUUCUAACAGAUCACUGCUGCCCAUGGGAUCUCUACAACUGAACAAGUCUUAUAGAUGUUUUUUAUGUAACCCGUUUUUCUGUUUGUUUGUCCACCCGUCCUUCCUCUCUCUCUCUCUCUCUCUCUCUCUCUCUAAACUCUAACUUGCAGAAAGGCUAACUCUCGUCUCUUCGCCAUCACACUCAUGGUGCUUUAUUGCUGUAAGAAGCAGAAAUCAUUCAAGUUCCUUUGGGAUCACUGUUUUAUCUUAAGCCAGCCAUUCCAUUUUGUUUUGACUUUCACUGCAUAUUUUUAAAUACUGAAACUCUUUAAGGUGAACAGCUAUAUUUUGUUUUACCUGUAAAAAGAGUAUUUAUUUGUGACUUUACUCGUAAAAAGAAGUUUUACAUUUUACUUAAAAAAAAAAUAAAAAUUGAAUCUUGCAAUUUGAACCUCGAGAUACUUGAGUUUCUGUUGCAACCCCAGUUCAAAUGCUAGGAAAAUGAUUUAUAUGGCAAUCAUAGUUUUCGUUACUACCAACAAAAAAGAAGCUUUUCUUAUGAUAAUCUGAACAUUUCUGCACUUGAUUAUCCACUUCGUCUCUGCUGGGUAACUUGGAAAAAGGUUUUUGAUGGCAAGGUUGAAUUUUUUGAUGGGCAACUUACCUAGGUGUUUCAAAAUGAUGAGCUUGUUUUAUGGCUGCUAACUCUCUAUUUGAACAUGUUUGAUGACCUUCGGAAUUUCUCUUCGAGUGCUUCCAAUAGCGAAGUAUCAUCUUCACGUUUUAGCCAAUGGACGGCGGUGGUAGUGUUCUCCUUUGUACAUUUUCUUAAAAGAACUGAUGCAGCAAUUGAAGAACUAAGAUCUAAUUGGAAGAAGUCUGAGAAAUACUUGGAGGUUUGGUCUAGGGCUACGGAGGCUUGUGCCCUGUGGCUAUAUUUUGCGUUGGGGAAAUAGCAUAACAGAAUGAUUUCCGAAGAUAAAAUCAGCAAUAAAGUCAAAAUUAAAUAGCAAAUAAUGGGCUUUAUAAUAUUUUGGUCGUUGGCUGGGAGGGUGACGGAGGGUGACACAGGGAUGAGCGCGAUGAGGUCGAUCACCGUUUUCCUCAAGGAUAACUACUCUGAAUCCACGGAGCUUCUUUGGACUCCUCACAAAGAUUCCUUGAAUCCACAAGGAGAGAAAAUAGAAAUAAAUUCGAGAAAUUCGAAAUUUGAUUGAUUGAUAAUUGUUUGAUAUGUAUGUCCCUGUUACACUAUUAAUAUAGAAAAAAAAAUCCAAAUUUCGUAAUUACCAAAAAUAACAAAAUUCUAACUAAUAAAACUCUUCUUAAAACCUAAUUUCUAAAAAUAAAAGUUCCAGAUAAAAUUUUGCUAGAAGAAUCCUAGCAUGAUUACAAGUUUAUAAAAAAGAAGAAAAUCUAAAACUCUAAAAGUAAGAAAAUAUUAAAAAUAAUUCGGAAUUACUAAAACUAGUAAAUUUUCCUUAAAUUUUCGUUUUUGAGCUGGAAGUGUGUGUUUUUUGACGAAAUGGACGUGACCCACUUUAUGGGUCGGUUCACCUUGGAUGGACCGUUUCAGUAAAGAUUGAUAGGUUAUGCGCUCCGUAACGAUACCCGGAUCAAAAGUUAUGAUCAAUUUAUGGUCCACCUUUUGAUGCAACCAUGCUAGGAAUGUAUCUGUGCCAUGUUCUGCAUUAGGAGGAGUUAUCCUAUUGUACAGGGUUGAAAUGGGAGGAGGCCAAGGCUAAUACUGGUUUCAUUGUCUGACUCGGUCAUUGGUUGAGGUUGUAUCAUUAGUGUGAAUAGGACUUGGAUGAGUGCCAUCAACUCCCAAUGUUGUUUAUAAUACUGAAAAAAAUUUAUAAGAACUCAAGAGAAACAAGAUAAAUUAAUAAAAAUAACGAAAAAUAGGGAAAAAAAA